rnacentral:pre_miRNA from 1 species
CGAGGCAUUGUGGUAGUCUUCCGAGCAGUAUAUGGACGUUUUGAUUGGUCCACCGUUCCAAUAGCUCCUAAUACUGUUCGGUUAGGACGCCACAGUGGCU